rnacentral:lncRNA from 1 species
AAAAAUAGCAACCUCCUACUAUAAUAAUAGCAAAAGAAACACAUAAGAAGUAAUGUUGAUUGCGCCUACUGUAAUAAUAGCAAAAGUCAUCGAUUUGUGAGCAAACAAGACUAGAAUUAACACUUGAGCAACAGAAUAGUAGAAACGAUUUCACAUUAAUUAUAAUCCAAUCCUCAAAGUUGUCGCAUAGAAACUCAUUGUUUCUUUGUUCCACCAUCCAAGUUGGAUCAGCACCACGACCCAGGAGAUAUCUCGUGAUACCAUGCAUCCCAUAAGCCGCAGAAAUGGCCAGAGGAGUGUCACCUGCAAUAAGUAAAACAAAAGAUCCAAAUUAAUCUAGGCUAGGAUGUGUAGCAGAAUUGAUGAGAAGAGAUUAAAAUGGGACUAGAAGCUAGUUUAUACCUCCAUCAACACCUCGCCCUCGUAGCAUUCGUUCAUUAGC